rnacentral:rRNA from 1 species
CCUACGGGCGGCUGCAGUCGAGAAUCAUUCACAAUGGAGGAAACCCUGAUGGUGCGACGCCGCGUGGGGGAAUGAAGGUCUUCGGAUUGUAAACCCCUGUCAUGUGGGAGCAAAUUAAAAAGCUAGUACCACAGGAGGAAGAGACGGCUAACUCUGUGCCAGCAGCCGCGGUAAUACAGAGGUUUCAAGCGUUGUGCGGAAUCAUUGGGCGUAAAGCGUGCGUAGGCUGUUGCGUAAGUCGGGGGUGAAAGGCGCGGGCUCAACCCGCGAACGGCACAUGAUACUGUGAGACUAGAGUAAAGGAGGGGGAACCGGAAUUCUCGGUGUAGCAGUGAAAUGCGUAGAUAUCG